GUAGGCAGGGGCUGGGGUUUCAGGUUCUCAGUCAGAAUCUUGGCCCCUCUCCCCAG
ensembl:miRNA